GAUGAACGCUGGCGGCGUGCCUAAUACAUGCAAGUCGAGCGAACAGACGAGGAGCUUGCUCCUUUGACGUUAGCGGCGGACGGGUGAGUAACACGUAGGUAACCUGCCUAUAAGACUGGGAUAACUUCGGGAAACCGGAGCUAAUACCGGAUAAUAUUUCGAACCGCAUGGUUCGAUAGUGAAAGAUGGCUUUGCUAUCACUUAUAGAUGGACCUGCGCCGUAUUAGCUAGUUGGUAAGGUAACGGCUUACCAAGGCAACGAUACGUAGCCGACCUGAGAGGGUGAUCGGCCACACUGGAACUGAGACACGGUCCAGACUCCUACGGGAGGCAGCAGUAGGGAAUCUUCCGCAAUGGGCGAAAGCCUGACGGAGCAACGCCGCGUGAGUGAUGAAGGUCUUCGGAUCGUAAAACUCUGUUAUUAGGGAAGAACAAACGUGUAAGUAACUGUGCACGUCUUGACGGUACCUAAUCAGAAAGCCACGGCUAACUACGUG
rnacentral:rRNA from 1 species